CUACGGGGUGCUCCAGUGGGGAAUAUUGCACAAUGGGCGCAAGCCUGAUGCAGCCAUGCCGCGUGUAUGAAGAAGGCCUUCGGGUUGUAAAGUACUUUCAGCGGGGAGGAAGGGAGUAAAGUUAAUACCUUUGCUCAUUGACGUUACCCGCAGAAGAAGCACCGGCUAACUCCGUGCCAGCAGCCGCGGUAAUACGGAGGGUGCAAGCGUUAAUCGGAAUUACUGGGCGUAAAGCGCACGCAGGCGGUUUGUUUAGUCAGAUGUGAAAUCCCCGGGCUCAACCUGGGAACUGCAUCUGAUACUGGCAAGCUUGAGUCUCGUAGAGGGGGGUAGAAUUCCAGGUGUAGCGGUGAAAUGCGUAGAGAUCUGGAGGAAUACCGGUGGCGAAGGCGGCCCCCUGGACGAAGACUGACGCUCAGGUGCGAAAGCGUGGGGAGCAAACAGGAUUAGAUACCCGGGUAGUC
rnacentral:rRNA from 1 species